GAACGAACGCUGGCGGCGCGUCUUAAGCAUGCAAGUCGAACGGCAAGAGGUAGCAAUACCUCCUAGAGUGGCGGACUGGUGAGUAACACGUGGGUGACAUACCCUCAAAUGGGGAUAGCUAUUAGAAAUAGUAGAUAAUACCGAAUACGAGCACAGGGGUUAGAGAUCUGUGAGGAAAGGAGCUAAGGCUCCGCUGAAGGAAUGGCCUGCGGCCCAUUAGCUAGUUGGUGAGGUAAGAGCCCACCAAGGCGAUGAUGGGUAUCCGGCCUUAGAGGGUGAACGGACACAUUGGGACUGAGAUACGGCCCAGACUCCUACGGGAGGCAGCAGCUAAGAAUAUUCCGCAAUGGACGAAAGUCUGACGGAGCGACGCCGCGUGGAUGAAGAAGGCCGGAAGGUUGUAAAAUCCUUUUGAAACUGAAGAAUAAGCGUUGUAGGGAAUGACAGCGUGGUGACAGUAGGUUUUGAAUAAGCAACGGCUAAUUACGUGCCAGCCGCAGC
rnacentral:rRNA from 1 species